UGAGAUAGAAUGCAAACCGUCUGAGCUUCUCGCAUCCGAUCAAGAGGGAUCUGACUCCGUUGUCCAGCGGCAAAUCUCUUAUCCUCUCUUCCUGGUCGAGCAAGACAAGGCGGAAGUCGCUGAGGUUUUUCAGAUACGCGCCUAUGGUUCGGAGAGACUCGUUGCUUAUGUCUGUGACGUACACCGCCAUGUAUUCUAGCUCCUGGCAGCCCUUAGCCAAAGCCGUUAAUCCUCUCUGUGUGACAAAACCUCCCAAGUCCUCAUUCCCUUGUUCAUCUGCACCCCAUCUUUCGUCCAUCAUCCCUUCUUCAUCUGCACCCUGUUCGAUCCUCAGCCGCUUCAACUGCUUACAGCACUGUGCAAGAACCUCUAGACCCUUAUCUCCGAUCACAUUCCUCGUCUGAGAGAUACACACCAAGAACUUGUCAGCCUUUACAUACAAAAUAAAUAGUUCAUAAAGAAGAAAAAGUUACCUCAAGAACUUCCAAAUUAGGACACUUUUUGAUUAGUUUACAAUGAUCAUUAGUUUCGAGAAACGUAUAGAGCAGAUCCAGCUUCCGGAUUUGGGCAGCGAAUGGGAAUAUCAUUGGCAUUUCGUUAGCUCCAAAGUAAGUGAGGCCCAGACGACUUAGCUUUGGAGGGAAAGUGAGUUUGAUGUACUUGUCAGGUGUUUCAGGAGUAAAGGCGCCACCACAAAACUCCUCAAGGUUAACAGCAGCGUUAAAGAACCGGACUAGCUCCAGCAUCUCAACGUCACCGACCUUGACAGAGACCAGAGAGCGGUGGCAGUUCCUAGCUAUGGUUUCCAAGUCUCUGGGGCUGAGUUUUGUGAGCUCGGUCAUGUACAAGUUUAACACCUCGAGAGACGUGUUGUGCAGGGCAAGCUCGUGUAGCCAGUUACCGUCCUUUUCAAGAAAUGAACUCUCUUCCAUCACCAACGUUUUGAUAUUCCUGUCAAAGAAAACAGACGGAACAAUGAACCAAGUGAGAAAACAACUCAACAUAAAAUUGCAUAUGCACAACAGCGACAACCCAUUCAAGGAUACAUGAACUCGCAGAGACAAUCUUUCUAUGCAAAUGACAUAUAUAAUCAAGUCAACGCUAUUAUGUAAACGACUUUGAUUAUAAACAUUGAACUCCCAGUGGAAUGAAAAUAGUAUUUGAUUCCUUACUAUACUUUACAAUCAAGUCUCCAGAAACACGGCACCUAAUGCAAUGAACGACAUUAUAAACAUUGAACUCCCAGAGACAAUCUUUUUUGAUAGAACCCCCCGCCAAAGUUUCUAAUUCCACAACUGAUAAUUUUCUCAAGUUGCAGGCAUAACAAUGGCAAGUGUAAAGUGUAGCAAGGUCCUUUAUACAAGUAGGCACCAACGUUUCUACUUAGUCAACUUGUUCUUAUAAAAACGGCAUCGUUAUGAAGAUAAAGAGAGUUGCAAAAGUAUGUGAUAAACCUCAAGAACCAAUCGACAUUAUAAACAUUGAACUCCUCCAAAAGUGCAAAGUAUUAGCACGUAAGGUCCUCUCUACACAAGUAACUAACCAAUUGAGCUAGCAAAUCUUGUUCUUAUCAAAAACGGCGUCGUUACGAAGAGUAAUCUUGUGUUAGUUACCUGCAGUGUCUAACGACGCUCAAGAGCCCAUCGGUAGAGAACCCUAAGCACUUAUCAAGCUUCAGAACCUCGAGCUCAUCCCCCCUCGCUCUCGCCAAAACAUCAAGAUCCAAAUCACGCACGAUCAUCCUCCUGAAAUGCACCGACCUGAUCCUCCGGAGCGACAAGGCGAUCUCGUUCACCCAGGGGGUAACGAACCCUCCCCAAUUAUCGGGGAUGAGGUUGAACAUCGCGGCGCGAGGCUUCCCUUUGAGCAGGCCCGGCUCAAAAGAAUUUUGGGCCCUUGGCAAAAUAAUCAAAAAUUUUUUUUUUUACAUAAUUAUAUGAUAACUUAAAAAUUUCGGGCCUUAUCUUCAAUUUUUUUAAAAAUAUUGGGCCCCUUUUCAAUACUAUUUAUGCAAAAAAUCUUUUGGGCCCUAGGCCAAUGCCCCUUUGCCCACCCUCCUGAGCCGGGCCUGAUGGAAGAGAAAGAAAACGAAGAAGAAAGAGAAUGAUACUCACAAUGUCUUUUGGAUUUAUUGGUUAAGAAAUAUAUUAAAUUAAUUGAGAAAUAAAAAAGAGUAAUUUAGGAAUUUGGUGUGGUCUAUAUGUGAUGUUUAUUCUUGUUUCUUGUCCAAAACUGCCCUGAAAGCAAAAAGUGUUUUAUUAUGUUAUAAAAAACUUGAAACUGUUUUUGAAUUUGAAUGUAAUUCUUUCCUUGUAUUAUAUCAAGUAAAGCCAAUCUCUUUUGCUAAACGACUAUGUAAACAGAAUAUUAACAAGAUGUGGUUAUGCAAUGGAUGAUUACGUACGGCGUGAUGAUUAUUUAUUAGCUUAAUUCUGCGAUUAAUUUAAAACUUUUCUGGGGUUAAGGACAACGUUUUCUGUUGUUGAUAGCUAAAAGUAGUUUCCUGGUGGCCCAUAAUAGUUGGGGUUAAACUAUAUGAUUGUUAUGUAUGUAUGGAGCUAUGUGAAUUAUUAAAAAAAAUUGCAUGAUGAUGUAUAUAAAUCCAUAGAUGACUUCAUCAAACUGGCCAAUAAAAUACUAUCAAAAUUGAAUAUAAUUUGUGAAUUUUUAUGUAAAUAAAAGUUUCAUUUAAAUCAAUCAUAAAUUUUUAUGUUCUAAAAAUUGGUUUAGGUAUUGACUAUUGUCCGACUAGGCGGCACGGCAAAUUGGACCUAAAGGAUUUUUAUAGAAUGAUUUUUAAAAAAAAAAAUCGGUCUAAGCAUUCAAAAAAAUUAGUCUAGUCUUCCACCUAAGCAAUAAUCUUCUAUAAAGCAUUUAUUUUACCGCCUACAAUUUUUCGAAGAUUGGUCUUGGCAGUCCCGGCUCUAACCUAUGGCCACAUUGAUAAUUGCUAUGGAUCCAUGGAUCCAAACAAAAUUUUGGUAUUAUUUUACUAAUUAGAAAAUUCUAUUUUAAUUUGUUAAAUUAUCAAUUAGCUGGUGAAUUUAUAACAAAAAAGCUCAUGAUUAACAAAACCAAUUUUAAAUACAACAGGACAAUAUUUAUUUUUUUUAAACUUCACCGUUCUUAAUUUUUUUACAACAAAACCUAAUUUACACUUAAAGGUCCAUUUUUUUCUUUUAAUACCACAAAUUUUUUUUGCUCCAAUUUAAAGAAAUGCACUAAUUUUUUUGUUAAAAGGGUGUCUAUUUUAUGUUUGGCGUAAGGCCAUUAAAAUUUUUAAGACGGCACUGGUCUUGGUGUUAGGUUGAGAAACCAAAAUUGGGGAAGCUUUGCAACUUGAUGGUUCCUUGUGCUUUGACAGCACUUGACCAUUGGUCUCCACAAGUUAAAGUAAGUCCUUUGGUGUUGUAAUGGCAUUUUUCUCUUAUUAGUUGUAAACAUGAGGCCAUAUAGUGAAUGAGAAUAUGAUGUUCUUUGUUUGCUUUUGAUGACAGGGGCAGGGCAGGGUAAUAAGCUUUAUUCAUCUAAGCUAAAAAUGGUGAUCUUGGAUUGUAUGGAAACGUGUGGUUCUUGAUGCUUGUUGCCAGAAUAUAGCCUCAGAUGAUGAGAUGUGGAUACAUGUGGUGGAGUUAUCUGUGCUUCUUGUUACUAAACUCCAUCCAAAUAAUCCCGAAACAGUACAAGUUUUGUGAUCAAUCUUAUAUGUACUUUACCUUUGAAUGGUAUAACAACUACACCAACAUAAACUCUUGAAACCAUAUACACAAUUGAAAAUGAAAAAAUAGAGUCGCUGCACAUCAGAAACACCAUGACUUAUAUUUCACUGUAGUCCAAUGUAGAAAAAAAGUAAUGCCCAGGCCCCCCCUUACAAACAAGAAUCUAUGUAAUCUCUCAACACCACUAACAAUACAACAGUAAGAAGAAGAAGUAAAAGAAUCCAUUACACAGUUCAUGGAAGACUAAAGAUAUGACCAAAUCUUUUAUGUACAAACCUGCUUUGGAUCAUCAAUCAUAGCUCCCUCAGGACUCUAACAGUUGGUGGACAAUCUGUUCUCUGACCAGCCAGCGAGUAAUACGCCAGUAUAUGAGCAGGAUGCUCCAUCUCUCUCACAUCUCCUAGGUUCACUUCCGGGACUCUUCUUGCUUGAAUCAGCUCAAUGUUCCAGUUCGGUCGAGACAUUACCCUCAGAUCUUGUCCCGUCACCGAUUCUCUGUACCCUUGUACCCACAAGUAUCUCAGGGAAGGCAGUUUCAUCACCGCUGCAGCGAUUGCUCUCUCGCUGAAGCAACACCCUCUCAUCUCCAGCUUCUGCAGCUUCGGACACCCUUUUGAGAAUUCCAUUAGUCCUUCGUCUGUUUCACCAACGUAGCCAAGAAGCAUCCAUCUCACGUUUGGACUGUACUGUCCGAUGUAUCUUAACCCCACGUCUGUUAAGCCGCCUGGCCUGAGAUAGAAUGCAAACCGUCUGAGCUUCUCGCAUCCGAUCAAGAGGGAUCUGACUCCGUUGUCCAGCGGCAAAUCUCUUAUCCUCUCUUCCUGGUCGAGCAAGACAAGGCGGAAGUCGCUGAGGUUUUUCAGAUACGCGCCUAUGGUUCGGAGAGACUCGUUGCUUAUGUCUGUGACGUACACCGCCAUGUAUUCUAGCUCCUGGCAGCCCUUAGCCAAAGCCGUUAAUCCUCUCUGUGUGACAAAAC
rnacentral:lncRNA from 1 species